rnacentral:rRNA from 1 species
AUGUACAUGGAUGUUAUCAAUUCUAACUCCAUUCCUAGUUCCAAACAUGUUUGGAAAGUCAAAGUGCCUUUGAAAGUUAAAGUGUUUAUGUGGUUUGUACAUAAACAAGUCAUUUUAACUAAGGACAACCUGGCAAAACGCAACUGGAGAGAACCUAUAAGAUGUAGUUUUUUUGAUCGGGAUGAAUCCAUCAAACACCUCUUUCUUGACUGCCCGUUGGCAAAAAAUUUAUGGCGGUCGGUACACAUAGCCUUUAACAUUACUCCUCCGAAUUCUGCCAGUACGUUAUUUGGGACGUGA